rnacentral:rRNA from 1 species
CCUACGGGAGGCAGCAGUGGGGAAUUUUGGACAAUGGGCGCAAGCCUGAUCCAGCCAUGCCGCGUGUGGGAAGAAGGCCUUCGGGUUGUAAACCACUUUUGUCAGGGAAGAAACGGUCUGAACUAAUACUUUGGACUAAUGACGGUACCUGAAGAAUAAGCACCGGCUAACUACGUGCCAGCAGCCGCGGUAAUACGUAGGGUGCAAGCGUUAAUCGGAAUUACUGGGCGUAAAGCGUGCGCAGGCGGCUUUGCAAGACAGAUGUGAAAUCCCCGGGCUCAACCUGGGAACUGCAUUUGUGACUGCAUGGCUAGAGUACGGUAGAGGGGGAUGGAAUUCCGCGUGUAGCAGUGAAAUGCGUAGAUAUGCGGAGGAACACCGAUGGCGAAGGCAAUCCCCUGGACCUGUACUGACGCUCAUGCACGAAAGCGUGGGGAGCAAACAGGAUUAGAUACCCUGGUAGUCCACGCCCUAAACGAUGUCAACUGGUUGUUGGGAGGGUUUCUUCUCAGUACGAAGCUAACGCGUGAAGUUGACCGCCUGGGGAGUACGGCCGCAAGGUUGAACUCAAAGGAUUGACGG